rnacentral:rRNA from 1 species
GAUGAACGCUGGCGGCGUGCCUAAUACAUGCAAGUCGAGCGAACAGACGAGGAGCUUGCUCCUCUGACGUUAGCGGCGGACGGGUGAGUAACACGUGGGUAACCUACCUAUAAGACUGGGAUAACUUCGGGAAACCGGAGCUAAUACCGGAUAAUAUAUUGAACCGCAUGGUUCAAUAGUGAAAGACGGUUUUGCUGUCACUUAUAGAUGGAUCCGCGCCGCAUUAGCUAGUUGGUAAGGUAACGGCUUACCAAGGCAACGAUGCGUAGCCGACCUGAGAGGGGGAUCGGCCACACUGGAACUGAGACACGGUCCAGACUCCUACGGGAGGCAGCAGUAGGGAAUCUUCCGCAAUGGGCGAAAGCCUGACGGAGCAACGCCGCGUGAGUGAUGAGGGUCUACGGAUCGUAAAACUCUGUGAUUAGGGAAGAACAAAUGUGUAAGUAACGAUGCACGUCUUGACGGUACCUAAGCAGAAAGCCACGGCUAACUACGU